AUGGCUAAGACUCUCCGCUCCCAAUGCAGGGGGCCGAGGUUCAAUCCCCGGUCAGGGAACUAGACACACAUGCUGCAACUAAGACCUGGCAUAGCCAAAUAAGUAUUUUUCUUCCUGGAGUCGGGUUGCUUGGGAAUGCAGCCCAAAGUGGGUGGUAAACUCCAUCUAAGGCUAAAUACUGGCCCGAGACCGAUAAUCAACAAGUACCGUAAGG
rnacentral:ncRNA from 1 species